rnacentral:rRNA from 1 species
CACUCCUGCGGGAGGCAGCAGUGGGGAAUAUUGCACAAUGGGCGCAAGCCUGAUGCAGCCAUGCCGCGUGUAUGAAGAAGGCCUUCGGGUUGUAAAGUACUUUCAGCGGGGAGGAAGGCGAUAAGGUUAAUAACCUUGUCGAUUGACGUUACCCGCAGAAGAAGCACCGGCUAACUCCGUGCCAGCAGCCGCGGUAAUACGGAGGGUGCAAGCGUUAAUCGGAAUUACUGGGCGUAAAGCGCACGCAGGCGGUCUGUCAAGUCGGAUGUGAAAUCCCCGGGCUCAACCUGGGAACUGCAUUCGAAACUGGCAGGCUAGAGUCUUGUAGAGGGGGGUAGAAUUCCAGGUGUAGCGGUGAAAUGCGUAGAGAUCUGGAGGAAUACCGGUGGCGAAGGCGGCCCCCUGGACAAAGACUGACGCUCAGGUGCGAAAGCGUGGGGAGCAAACAGGAUUAGAAACCCUUGUAGCCC